rnacentral:rRNA from 1 species
AAUUUUGGACAAUGGGGGUAACUCUGAUCCAUCUAUCACGCGUGUAUGAUGAAGGCCGCGUGGUUGUAAUGUACUUUUGACAGAGAAGCAAAGGUACCUCCUCAUACUAGGUACUGCUGACGGUAUCUGCAGAAUCAGCACCGGCUAACUACGUUCCAGCAGCGGCGGUAAUACGUAGUGUGCAAGCGUUAAUCGGAAUUACUGGGCGUAAGGCGUGUGUAGGCGGUUCGGAAAGACACAUGUUAAAUCCCAGGGCUUAACCUUGGAAAUUCGCUUCUAACUGCCGAACUAGAGUAUGUCAGAGGUGGGUAGAAUCCCACGUGUAGCAGUGAAAUGCGUAGAUACGUGGAGGAAUACCGAUGGCGAAGGCAGCCCCCUGGGAUAAUACUGACGCUAAGACACGAAAACGUGGGGAGCAAACAG